rnacentral:piRNA from 1 species
UAUCCUUCUGAAUGACCAAUG